rnacentral:tRNA from 1 species
AAGGAUUUAAGUUAAAUUAAACUUUUAACCUUCAAAGUUAACAAUAGACCAUAAUUCUAAGCCUUAUAUAUUCAUUAAACCUUA